GGUUUGAUCAUGGCUCAGAUUGAACGCUGGCGGGAUCACUUUACAUGCAAGUCGAACGGCAGCACGGACUUCGGUCUGGUGGCGAGUGGCGAACGGGUGAGUAUCGGAACGUGCCUAGUAGCGGGGGAUAACUACGCGAAAGCGUAGCUAAUACCACACAUACGCCCUUCGGGGAAAGCGGGGGACCUUCGGGCCUCGCACUAUUAGAGCGGCCGAUAUCGGAUUAGCUAGUUGGUGGGGUAACGGCUCGCAAGGCGACGAUCCGUAGCUGGUUUGAGAGGACGACCAGCCACACUGGGACUGAGACACGGCCCAGACUCCUACGGGAGGCAGCAGUGAAAUUUUGGACAAUGGGGAAACCCUGAUCCAGCCAUCCCGCGUGUGCGAUGAAGGCCUUCGGGUUGUAAAGCACUUUUGGCAGGAAAGAAACGGCACGGGAUAAUACCCCGUGCAACUGACAGUACCUGCAGAAUAAGCACCAGUAACUACGUGCCAGCAGCCGCGGUAAUACGUAAGUGCAAGCGUUAAUCGGAAUUACUGGGCGUAAAGCGUGCGCAGGCGGUUCGGAAAGAGAAAGAUGUGAAAUCCCAGAGCAACUUUGGAACUGCAUUUUUAACUACCGAGCUAGAGUGUGUCAGAGGGAGGUGGAAUUCCGCGAUAGCAGUGAAAUGCGUAGAUAUGCGGAGGAACACCGAUGGCGAAGGCAGCCUCCUGGGAUAACACUGACGCUCAUGCGGCAGUAAGGAGCAAACGGGAUUAGAUACCCUGGUAGUCCACGCCCUAAACGAUGUCAACUAGCUGUUGGGGCCUUCGGGCCUUGGUAGCGCAACUAACGCGUGAGAUUGACCGCCUGGGGAUACGGUCGCAAGAUUAAAACUCAAAAGGAAUUGACGGGGACCCGCACAAGCGGUGGAUGAUGUGGAUUAAUUCGAUGCAACGCGAAAAACCUUACCUACCCUUGACAUGUCUGGAAUCCCGAAGAGAUUUGGGAGUGCUCGCAAGAGAACCGGAACACAGGUGCUGCAUGGCUGUCGUCAGCUCGUGUCGUGAGAUGUUGGGGUUAAGUCCACCAACGAGCGCAACCCUUGUCAUUAGUUGCUACGAAAGGGCACUCUAAUGAGACUGCCGGUGACAAACCGGAGGAAGGUGGGGAUGACGUCAAGUCCUCAUGGCCAUAUGGGUAGGGCUUCACACGUCAUACAAUGGUCGGGACAGAGGGUCGCCAACCCGCGAGAGGGAGGCCAAUCCCAGAAACCCGAUCGUAGUCCGGAUCACCAGUCUGCAACUCGACUGCGUGAAGUCAGAUCGCUAGUAAUCGCGGAUCAGCAUGUCGCAGUGAAUACGUUCCCGGGUCAGCACACACCGCCGUCACACCAUGGGAGUGGGUUUUACCAAGUAGUUAGCCUAACCGUAAGGAGGGCGAUUACCACGGUAGGAUUCAUGACUGGGUGAAGUCGUAACAAAGGUAG
rnacentral:rRNA from 1 species